rnacentral:lncRNA from 1 species
AUUUUUGUGAAAGGUUGUUUAAUGGGUUUUAUAGCUGGAUCUAUUAUAUCAUAUGGUUUUGGAUUACUAUACCUUUGGGAUAAAUAUAUAGUGUUUGGUUUUGGUAUUAAAGGAGAUGGUGCCUGUGGUGUUUCUAUGUGUUCUAUAUUUGUAAUGUCUUCGUGAUUUCUAUCUAUCUUUUCUUCUAUCCUAUCUAAUUGUUGGCCUAUGAUAUGUAAUGAUACAUUGGUCCAAUUGUUUUGUAGGCUGAUUUCUCUUAUGUGGUUUUUUUCAAUAUUGUCAGUUUUUACAAUUGGUUGCAUUCCAUGAGAUAUUUGGUUCUUUUUGAAAAAUACUCUGUCAAGUGGUGGUUUUUCACAUUCAUGGGCGAGAUCACUAACUCCUCCUUCAUUAUUUACUUUGUGCCAUUUAUGUAUUUUCUUUUCCAAUACAUUUAAUUUUUUCUCAUGAAAAUAUUUUAAAUAUGUAAAAAAUGGUAUAGUCUUUUCGACUUGUUUACAAAAUGUAAAGAAUUGUUUUUUAAUGAGACUUUGUUCUUUUCUGGAAUAGGUUUGCAAAAAUAGGU